rnacentral:rRNA from 1 species
AUGAAUUUCAUGGCUUUCGGCCUUGACCGGGAAAAUCUCCUCGCCGUGGACCAAAUCGGCAGGAGCUUCUUGUACAACCACGACUCGCGCUUGCUCCGCACUGGGAUGCCCAAGAUGCGCGGGCCCAUUAGCGACCCCAUCUCCGUUGCCGUGGGCGACAGCCUAUACGUCAUGAGCGGCAACCCUGGCCAGCUGCCCGGCCAGGGCUGCUUCCAGGCUCUCCUCCACACCCGCCUGCCUGGUAGCCGCGCCGAAGACUGGUGCUGGUAUUCCCUCCAGCCACCGCCUCUCUUUGCCGACCACGACAACGGGGUGGAUCGAUCCAGCCGCUUUGAAAUCGGUGCCUACGCCGUGGUUGACGAUUCACAGAUCUGGAUAUCCACGUCUGGCGCCGGCACAUACUCGUAUGACAUCGCGAGCGGCGCGUGGAGCAAACUAGGCAACUGGGCACUGCCGUUCCGAGGUCGCGCCGAGUACAUCCCUGAGCACAACCUCUGGCUUGGCUUCACGCCCGACGAUCUGCAGCUCUGCACAGCAGACCUCACUGCCUCGUGCGAGCUGAGGCCGCCCGUGCUGCACGACGUGUGGACGGACAUGAACAGGCCAGAAGAUUGGACCCUGACAGACGCCAGCAUUGUGCCGCUUGGCUCCGGUCAUGUCUGCGUUGUGAGGUUCUUUCUUACCUGCCCAGAGGAGAGCAUUGAGGAUGUGUAUGGCGAUGCCCUUGAGAAAACAGAGACUUUUGCUGUUCUCGAGGGCGUCAAAUUGUUAAAGGCUGGGUGGGCUCAGCUCCGGAUGGUUAAGCACAAGUCGGAGCGUUACGUCUUCGGCCAUGACCUUGUCAUACCGCUGUGA